AUUGAACGCUGGCGGCAUGCCUUACACAUGCAAGUCGAACGGCAGCACGGGAGCAAUCCUGGUGGCGAGUGGCGAACGGGUGAGUAAUAUAUCGGAACGUGCCCGGUCGUGGGGGAUAACGUAGCGAAAGCUACGCUAAUACCGCAUACGAUCUACGGAUGAAAGCGGGGGAUCGCAAGACCUCGCGCGAUUGGAGCGGCCGAUAUCAGAUUAGGUAGUUGGUGAGGUAAAGGCUCACCAAGCCGACGAUCUGUAGCUGGUCUGAGAGGACGACCAGCCACACUGGGACUGAGACACGGCCCAGACUCCUACGGGAGGCAGCAGUGGGGAAUUUUGGACAAUGGGCGCAAGCCUGAUCCAGCAAUGCCGCGUGCAGGAU
rnacentral:rRNA from 1 species